UUUCAGUUUUGAAUAAAAUUGUCUUUAUCUGUCAUUUUCUUUACAGCAGCAUAUUCCUGCCACAGUCUUCAGCUGAGCUUCAGGAGCUGGAGAGAGGCUUCAAUGAGUCUUCACAAAGGGAAGAAUUUUCAAAUUAAUAAUUAGGAGUGUUCAGUUCUGCCUGUCUCCACCUGGAUGUUUGUCUGCGUGGGCAUUGGGCAUGAUAAAAGAAAACGCCAGCAACCUGGUAGGGAUAUGGAUGAGAUGGAGUUUGGCUUUUCAUAGAUACUGACUUCUUGCCCUGCAAUGUGGAUUUGAGGUUCCAAUUAAAUCCGUGUUUGGGCCAUUGCUUUGCCUGCCAGUACUUAAUCUUUUUCGAAGGCCUCAUCACUUAUCUAAUACAAAAGAACGAGGUAAGGAGAAAAAGUAAUGAAAUGCAGCAUAGCACAUCUGUCAAAGGAGCAGAAAGUAGCUUUAAAAAAAAUCCAAGAUCAAUGGCAUUAAAAAAUUAUUUGUUGAGCACUAAAUGUGCUCAUGUUAGGCACGUUAAUUGUAAAGAAUCUGUAUGUACUGAUGUACCAGUAUAUACCAUCUGAAUAUGUACUGACACACCAGUAUGUCCUUGCAUACUCUGAGGGUUUUGUUGUUGGUGUUUAAGAUAUUUACUGUUGAUGUAGCCACAGGACACAAAUGACUGAUAGGAGUAGUUGCUAAGUGUACUUCUCUGUACUGCUGAAUCU
rnacentral:lncRNA from 1 species